UCAUCGCGUUCUUCGUGCACAUUGAAACGGAUUCAAAAAAGUGAUUCCUCCAAAAGCGCUUUCGCGACACGGCUUCACCAACUCAUCAUCAAAUUCCAAAGCGGACGUACGUUGUGGCUUACGGAGCCGGCGUCGUCUAAAACAACCAAAGUCGCAUCGCUCGCAUAUCGCACAUUGCUUCAAGACAGUUGGAUAAAAGCACUUACCAACUUUCGCUUUCCGGUGACGUCACCUUUGGAUCCACGCCUUGUCGAUUGAGAGGAAGGAUUUGCUUUCGGAUUCACGUGUCGCAGUUGGAAGAUGGAGAACCGAGGCUCGUGUUUGAUCGUCGUGUGGCGUUGUAGUUGCUGUUGACGGAUUGAGGUUGAGGAGAAGAGGUUCGUUUGGUGGUGGUUCGGCGAGGGAGAAGAAGAAUGGAAGGUUGAGAAAUUCGGUCGCGGAGGUUUGUUAUGGUUGAAAGAAGAAAUGGAAGAAACGAGGGAGAGAAAUUCGUUACUGCUGAAAGAAAAUGGAAGAAGGAGGAAUAAGAGAUUUGGGGAAGAGAUUCGAGAGCCCAAAAAUCACUGUUAAUCAAGAUACUUAUAGAAUUUUCUGAAUUCAGCUAUGGCUUCAUCGUUUUGGAUGUUUUGCCUUUGGCUCGUAGGCGUUUUGGCCGUGGUGGCGCGCGUUCAUGCUGUAGCAGCUGUUGUGGUUCAUCCUGCAGUUUAUACAGCUUGUGUCAUUUUGAAGUGUGCACGGAAUGCUACUUGUAUUUCGGAUGCCGUCGUUUACCGUUUUCGAGUUGGGUUUCUGCAGCUGGUAUUAUGCCUUCUUUUAACUUAGGUUGUACCUGUUUUCGCGUUAGCUAGGAAUUUUGGUAGUAGCUUAUUGUUAUGGAAGCCAUUUGAUUUUUGAUGUUAGCAUUUUUACGCGUUGCCGUUUAUGCAGUCAUGGCUUGUGCAUUUUUGGAAGCAGCUCAUUUUGGAGGCUCGGCUUUUUCGUCAUGCUGUUUGGGUUUCGGAUAGCAGCUGGUGUGAAGUUGUUUUUGGCUUGUGCUUCGUGUUGUAGUUCUGCGUUGCUGCUGUGACUAAUUUCUCAAACUGCUGCCCCAUUCUUGAAAACUUUUUUCCACAAUGCCCCAAUCUGAAAAAAAAUUCUCAAACUGCCCCACUUUUCUUUUGGGACUCGUCCAUUGAUUGGACGAGAGGAUGAAGGUUUUUGUACGCUGACUAGGCUCGGCCAUUGGUUGGCCGAGCUAGUAAAGGGAGUUUUUUUUUUUUUUAACUAUUAUAUAAUUAAAUAAUUUUAUUAAAAUUAUUAUUAAAUACUUUUCUAAUUAAUUCUAUAUUUAAAUAAUAAAAAUGAUUUUUUUUUUAAAAAUACUAAUAAUAUUUUUUUUAAAUACUAAUAAUAGUUUUCUAAUAUUGUUUUUUUAAAAUAUUAAUAAUAAAAAUGAUUAUUUUUUAUAAUAUUAAUAAUAAAAAUAAUUAUUUUUUAAAAAUAUUAAUAGAAAUGAAUUUUUUUAAAAUAUUAAUAAUAAAAAUAAUAUGUUCCCCUCCAAAAUUUCAAUACUUUUUGGAAUGAUAUGUUUCCCUCCAAAAAAAUUCGAAUGAUAUGUUUCCCUCCAAAGUUUCAAUGACCGAGCAAUUGCUUUGUGUUUGUACUGUUUCGGCCAAUGAUUGGCCGAGUAUUCAAAUAUUAAUUUUGUAUAAAUAGCAGGACUUGUAAAAAAUUAACUCAGAGCACAAAAUCCUUUAUUUUGGUAAAAAUGUCUGUUUGGGGUUUUGUAUUUUAUGGAUAUGGUGAAAAAAUCAGUGUUUGUCUCGAUCCGCAAUAGAAUUUCAGAACACUGAUUUCAGCCAUCCACACUGGCUUCCGACAGUUGGGCGGGCGUCGUAUGAAGGUGAGGAAAGUAGAGUAUCGUUGUCCAUACAUAACGUUGACUAAUGCAAGCCCUGAUGGUACGUACAUGUAUUACCUGGAUCGUAUAGAAAAUGAUAGAAGAUGUUCAGUGUAUGUUUUCGGCACAUAGUGGUGAAGUUAAUAGAGGAGUUGAAGGUCCACUUGUGUUGGUUGUUGUUGUUGAUUAGUUUUUUAAUUACCAUUUGUGUUGGUUGUUGUUGUUGUUUAGUUGAUGUGGUCGUAUUUUGUAACCAGAAGCCUUUGAUUAUCAAAUGUAUUUCAUAAUUGUUUGUUCCCAAAAGACAUUAGAAAUACACCAUGGUUUAUA